GCAGUCGCCGCGGGAAUACGAAGGGGGCCAGCGUUGCUCGGAAUUACUGGGCGUAAAGGGCGCGUAGGCGGACAGUUCAGUCGGGGGUGAAAGCCCGGGGCUCAACCUCGGAAUUGCCUUCGAUACUGGCUGUCUUGAGUAUGGGAGAGGUGUGUGGAACUCCGAGUGUAGAGGUGAAAUUCGUAGAUAUUCGGAAGAGCACCAGUGGCGGAGGCGACACACUGGCUCAUUACUGACGCUGAGGCGCGAAAGCGUGGGGAGCAAACAGGAUUAGAUACCCCAGUAGUCCCUGUCUCUUAUAC
rnacentral:rRNA from 1 species